UUGAGCUUCAAGUUACAAAAUUAGUUAGAAUGUUACAGGGUGUUCGAUAACACAGUGGCAGACCAAACUUGUUUUUUUUUUAAAUGGAACACCCUAUAUUUUAUUUUAUAUUCGAAAUACUGUUAACUUCUCCAUCACAACAAUAUAAAGGUUUGUUAUGUUAUACAGGGUAUUUACAAAGUUAUAACCAAUUUUAUAUGAAAAUCGUAACAAGUUCAACUCCCUGUAUAAAUAAAAAUAAGCAAAACAGCAAUGGUUUAUUAAUGCCAUAUUUUUUUACGUAUUGUCAAAAUUUUCAAGAAUUACUGAUAUAGGCCGUUCCAAGAUGCUGUCAAAAUUAAAUCAAUAUGGCUACCGGAAGGCAAACAUUGAAUAUUAUUCUAUCAGGUUCUUAUGGUUUUAGAUCAUUUUAGUUGUUGUACAAAGAUUAAUUUAACAUUUUCUCUGGAAGUAUUAAUUUAGAAAGAUAAUAUGCCUCAUUGGUGUUGUGUUUUGAAGUGUGAAAUGCAAAGUAAUCGUGAUAAAGUUAGCUUUUACCACUUACCAUCAGUGCUACAUUCUAAGCACAAAACUGAACCAAUUUAACUAAAUAAGUUAUAGUUAUCAUCUGAGAGACAACAACAAUGGUAAAAUGCAAUAAAAUAUUAAGAUUUUACUAGCAAAAUGGAAAUUCCCCUGUAAUCAUCUUAUAUCUGGUAAGUUACAACAUUUGAACAUUAACCAUUUUUGAAGAUGUUAACAGUCUAAUCUUGUAGGAAAACCAGCCGACUUAACUGAUAAUAACAAUCCAGAUUGGGUUCCUUCAAUAAAUAUGGGGUAUAUAAACACAAUGAAAUGAGUUCCCCAAAAUCUAAAAUGGGAAUUAAGGUACCAAAGGAGAAUUAAAAGAAAAGGGUACCUACAAGAAAAAAUUGCUUUUUUAUUCCUCUUGAAAUGAUUUAUAAGACACUGGACUGUCUUAUAUUCUACAAAUACUAGAAUCAGCUGAGAGAAGUGGUCUACAAAAACCCAGGAAGGAAACGGAAUAUGUGGCUACGAAAGGCAAAAGAAAGGUUUACAAAGCAAAUGUGACACAUUUUUUUGAAAUAUUUAGGAAUAUCAGUAAAUUGCAUUAAAAAAAUGUAUGAAAAGAUUUUGUUCAAUAAAAAUGUUUAUAUUUA